rnacentral:rRNA from 1 species
GUGAACGCUGGCGGCGUGCUUUACACAUGCAAGUCGAGCGAGGCCAGGUAGCAAUACCUGAGUCGAGCGGCGCACGGGUGAGUAACGCGUGGAUAACCUGCCUUUGGGUGGGGGAUAACCCGGGGAAACUCGGGCUAAUACCGCAUAAAACCGAGAGGUCAAAGGGGGCUCGCGAGGGCUCUCGCCGAAAGAGGGGUCCGCGUCCGAUUAGCUAGUUGGCAGGGUAAUGGCCUACCAAGGCGACGAUCGGUAGCCGGCCUGAGAGGGUGAUCGGCCACACUGGAACUGAGACACGGUCCAGACUCCUACGGGAGGCAGCAGUGGGGAAUUUUGCGCAAUGGGGGAAACCCUGACGCAGCAACGCCGCGUGGAGGAUGAAGGUCUUCGGAUUGUAAACUCCUGUCAGUGGGGAAAAAGGGGAACGUGCUCAUACCACGUUUCAUUGAUUGUACCCGCAGAGGAAGCCCCGGCUAACUCUGU